rnacentral:snRNA from 1 species
GAUUGUGUUAUCACUAAAA